GUUCCACCAGAGAACUUCUAAACCUGGUAACUGAAAGAACCCCGGAGUGGGGAGACCCUCACUCAAGUCUCGGGAUGACGAGACCUCCCAAGAACUCUCGAGAGACC
rnacentral:pre_miRNA from 14 species